rnacentral:lncRNA from 1 species
UGAAAUAACAAGUAAGAUCAUGGCUAUCGAAUACCUUGCUUGGAAUGUAUUCGUUCUUGAGGAAAGAUUACGUCGACUCGAACGUCGUGUGGAAAGAAGGCGACUGAGAGAUGCUCAGAAUCCUUUUCAGCUACCACGAGAAGAGUUUCUCAGCCUUUUUCGCCUGCCUCAAGAAGCUGUGAUGAAUCUUGGUUAACACCUUAAGCGCAGUCAAAGCGAAAAUAUUUUUCACUGUUCAGCAAAGCAGCAUAGGUGAUGCUGGAUAUCCGUUGGAGCCUUGGCUGUUAACACCUCUGGCCAAUUUUCCUGAAGAUACGCGACAACAUCAAUAUACACAACAACUAUGUUGUAAGGCUAGAAGCGUCGUCGAGCGGUUUUUUGGAGUUUUUAAAUCUGUAUGGAGAUGCUUGUCAUACCAGCGAGUCUUGAUGUACGAACCAGCGUUCGCAGCGAAAAUUGUUAAUGCGUGUGCAGUACUGCACAACA